rnacentral:rRNA from 1 species
UACGUAGGGUGCGAGCGUUGUCCGGAUUUAUUGGGCGUAAAGAGCUCGUAGGCGGUUUGUUGCGUCGGCUGUGAAAUCCCGAGGCUCAACCUCGGGUCUGCAGUCGAUACGAGCAAACUAGAGUGUUGCAGGGGAGACUGGAAUUCCUGGUGUAGCGGUGAAAUGCGCAGAUAUCAGGAGGAACACCGGUGGCGAAGGCGGGUCUCUGGGCAACAACUGACGCUGAGGAGCGAAAGCGUGGGGAGCGAACAGG